rnacentral:lncRNA from 1 species
UGGCCGCUGUGUCUCCACAUGGCGACCCCUCCCCGGAUGGCGAAGGUGCCCUCUAGCUCCUCCAACUGGAUGACGACUGAAGAGGCCCAGACUCAGGAACCCCUCUCACCCUUGCCGAGCCCAGGGUAAUGCUUCAGGUAGUGGAGACAAAUGAAGAUACUCGACCAUCUCUAAAUGCUACCAAACACAUAGAGUCUACUCUGAAUGCAGAUACUGCUCUCAUAAAAAUUCUGCAAAGGAGGAAGGGGUUGGUGCAGACUGUUGCGAUGCUGAUCAACUGAGAUGCAAAACCCAUGUUCACAUCAUGAGUGAGUCUUCUAACUCGGACAACGCAAUCAACAAAUUCUAAGACCAAAUUCCGGCGGCACUGGCUCCAAAGCUCCUGAGUGUGGAAGGAGGGGAACAGGGAAAAGCAGAGAGGACAAAAGUCACAUCCCCUCCCCACAGACCCAUACUGGGGAAGGGUGGAAGAUUUAGCUGCGAGUCAAGUUCAGAAUUUUGAUUAACAUCUUGGCAUGCACAUUCGAAUUUCAGAAUCAAGACUGUUGGCCAUAAAAAAUGACUAUAGCCUUGUAUAUUACCUGAACUGAGCAGUAAAAAAAAAGUCAUGGUCCUUCUGGGGCUUUUAUUCUGAGACAGGAACCCUGAACAGGCAGGAGAAAGGGAAUGUUGAGAGAGAAACAAAGACAGCUGGCGACACACGCUGACCGCCAUGCGGACGUCCAUCAAACCCAGCACUGGCCCUGGGUACAUGCGCCUUUGCUAUUACCCCAAUACAUUUUCUUCUGCAGAGCAAGCAACAGAACACAUGCAGACCUUAAUAAAUACCACUGGGUAAUGUGACAAUGGCCAAACUCUCCUCACGGGGGAGAGAGUGUCCCCCAGUUUUGCUCCCUUUUAAUUUCCAGGGUUCAUAAGUAGCUCUAAAGCUUUGCUCUACGAGGUUGAUACAUACGAUAUUAAUGUUUCCCCUAAGCAGUAUAACAUAAAUAUAUUUGCUAUCUUG